rnacentral:rRNA from 1 species
GUGUCAGCAGCCGCGGUAACACGUAGGCACCAAGCGUUAUCCGGAUUUAUUGGGCGUAAAGAGCUCGUAGGCGGUUUGGUAAGUCGGGUGUGAAAACUCUGGGCUCAACCCAGAGAGGCCACCCGAUACUGCUAUGACUAGAGUACGGUAGGGGAGCGGGGAAUUCAUGGUGUAGCGGUGAAAUGCGCAGAUAUCAUGAGGAACACCAGCGGCGAAGGCGCCGCUCUGGGCCGUAACUGACGCUGAGGAGCGAAAGCAUGGGUAGCAAACAGGAUUAGAUACCCUGGUAGUCCAUGCCGUAAACGUUGGGCACUAGGUGUGGGUCUCAACCAACGAGAUCCGCGCCGUCGCUAACGCAUUAAGUGCCCCGCCUGGGGAGUACGGUCGCAAGACUAAA